rnacentral:tRNA from 1 species
GCCCUCGUAGCUCAGAUGGAUAGAGCGACGGCCUUCUAAGCCGUAGGUCACAGGUUCGAAUCCUGUCGGGGGUACCA